rnacentral:rRNA from 1 species
AGUCAACGCUGGCGGCGUGCCUCAGACAUGCAAGUCGAACGAUUAAGACUUCCUUCGGGAAGUGCAUAAAGUGGCGCACGGGUGAGUAACACGUAAGUAAUCUACCCUCGAGUGGGGAAUAACGUUCGGAAACGAACGCUAAUACCGCAUAAUGCAGCGGCAUCGCAAGAUGACAGUUGUUAAAGGAGUAAUUCGCUUGGGGAGGAGCUUGCGGCAGAUUAGCUAGUUGGUAAGGUAACGGCUUACCAAGGCUACGAUCUGUAUCCGGUCUAAGAGGACGGUCGGACACACUGACACUGAAGAACGGGUCAGACUCCUACGGGAGGCAGCAGUCGGGAAUUUUGGGCAAUGGGCGAAAGCCUGACCCAGCAACGCCGCGUGAAGGAUGAAGUAUUUCGGUAUGUAAACUUCAAAAGAAUGGGAAGAAUAAAUGACGGUACCAUUUAUAAGCUCCGGCUAACUACGUGCCAGCCGCCGCCGUAAAAC